UUGGGUCUUGGUACUACAUGUACAGGAUAGGUGGGAGGCUUUGAAACCAGGACGCCAGUUUUGGCGGAGCCAUCCUUGGGAUACCACCCUUGUAGUACUGGGACUCUAACCAUAGGCCAUGAAUCUGGUCUUGGGACACUGUCAGGUGGGCAGUUUGACUGGGGCGGUCGCCUCCCAACAGGUAACGGAGGCGCUCAAAGGUUCUCUCAGUACGGUCGGAAAUCGUACGUAGAGUGUAAAGGCAA
rnacentral:rRNA from 1 species